rnacentral:rRNA from 1 species
GACGGAGGAUGCAAGCGUUAUCCGGAAUGAUUGGGCGUAAAGCGUCUGCAGGUGGCAGUUCAAGUCUGCUGUCAAAGACCGGGGCUUAACUUCGGAAAGGCAGUGGAAACUGAACAGCUAGAGUAUGGUAGGGGCAGAGGGAAUCCCUGGUGUAGCGGUGAAAUGCGUAGAGAUCAGGAAGAACAUCGGUGGCGAAGGCGCUCUGCUGGACCAUAACUGACACUCAGGGACGAAAGCUAGGGGAGCGAAUGGG